rnacentral:rRNA from 1 species
CCUACGGGGGGCUGCAGUAGGGAAUCUUCCACAAUGGACGAAAGUCUGAUGGAGCAACGCCGCGUGAGUGAAGAAGGUUUUAGGAUCGUAAAACUCUGUUGUUGGAGAAGAACAGGGACUAGAGUAACUGUUAGUCCUUUGACGGUAUCCAACCAGAAAGCCACGGCUAACUACGUGCCAGCAGCCGCGGUAAUACGUAGGUGGCAAGCGUUGUCCGGAUUUAUUGGGCGUAAAGCGAGCGCAGGCGGUUUUUUAAGUCUGAUGUGAAAGCCUUCGGCUUAACCGAAGAAGUGCAUUAGAAACUGGGAAACUUGAGUGCAGAAGAGGACAGUGGAACUCCAUGUGUAGCGGUGAAAUGCGUAGAUAUAUGGAAGAACACCAGUGGCGAAGGCGGCUGUCUGGUCUGUAACUGACGCUGAGGCUCGAAAGUAUGGGGAGCGAACAGGCUUAGAUACCCCUGUAGUC